rfam:Myotis davidii contig17302, whole genome shotgun sequence.
GGUGUUUCUUGGGUGACACACCCUGGAAUCGGGUUCCCUCCUCCCUGGUUCUGGGUGUAUCACCCAAGAACUGCC